rnacentral:rRNA from 1 species
CCUACGGGAGGCAGCAGUGGGGAAUUUUGGACAAUGGGCGCAAGCCUGAUCCAGCCAUGCCGCGUGUGGGAAGAAGGCCUUCGGGUUGUAAACCACUUUUGUCAGGGAAGAAACGGCUUUUUCUAAUACAGAGAGCUAAUGACGGUACCUGAAGAAUAAGCACCGGCUAACUACGUGCCAGCAGCCGCGGUAAUACGUAGGGUGCAAGCGUUAAUCGGAAUUACUGGGCGUAAAGCGUGCGCAGGCGGCUUUGCAAGACAGAUGUGAAAUCCCCGGGCUCAACCUGGGAACUGCAUUUGUGACUGCAUGGCUAGAGUACGGUAGAGGGGGAUGGAAUUCCGCGUGUAGCAGUGAAAUGCGUAGAUAUGCGGAGGAACACCGAUGGCGAAGGCAAUCCCCUGGACCUGUACUGACGCUCAUGCACGAAAGCGUGGGGAGCAAACAGGAUUAGAUACCCUGGUAGUCCACGCCCUAAACGAUGUCAACUGGUUGUUGGACGGCUUGCUGUUCAGUAACGAGCUAACGCGUGAAGUUGACCGCCUGGGGAGUACGGCCGCAAGGUUGAAACUUAAAUUGAAUUGACGG